CUUCAUCCACCUGUUGCGGUGAGAUGAAAUGGAUAUGCGUGUCGAUACCGCCCGCAGUGAGUAUCUUACCCUCGCCUGCAAUGAUUUCGGUGCCGGGUCCGAUGAUGAUCGAAACACCUGGCUGCGUAUCCGGGUUCCCGGCCUUGCCGAUCACUGCGAUACGCCCGUCUCGAAGUCCCACAUCGGCCUUGUAGAUACCGGUAUGAUCGAGGAUCAGGGCAUUGGUAAUAACCGUAUCCAUUGCGCCAUCAGCGCGGGACAAUUGGCUUUGCCCCAUACCGUCGCGGAU
rnacentral:sRNA from 1 species